rnacentral:tRNA from 1 species
GGAUGGGUGGCCGAGUGGUUGAAGGCGCUGGUCUUGAAAACCAGUUUACGGGAAACCGUAACGAGGGUUCGAAUCCCUCCCCAUCCG